rnacentral:lncRNA from 1 species
GCAUCUCUUGGGAUCUUUGUGAAGAUUAUGUGAAACAAUUCAUGCAAAACGCUUAAUCCAAUGCCAGACACCUACUAAGAACUCUCUGUCUCUCGAUAUAUACAUUGUGGCAAAGUAAACAAAACAUAAAAUUUACCAUUUGAAGUAUUCUUAAGCCCACAGUUCAGUGAUAUUAAAUACAUUGACAGUGUUGUGCAACCAACAGUACCAUUUAUCUCCAGAACUUUUUUCAUCUUGCAAAACUGAAACUCUGUACCCAUUAACAGUAACUCUUCAUUUCCCCCUAUCCUCCAGACCCUGAAAUCAUCAUUAUACCUUCUCUCUCAGUGAAUUUGAAUUAGCUUUUUUAACUAGCUCAUGUAAGUGGAAUUUUACAGUAUUUGUCCUUUGGAGGUUGCCUUGAUUCACUUAGCAUAAUGUCCUCAAGGUCCAUCUAUAUUGUAGCAUGUGUCAGGAUUUCCUUCACUUUCAGGUUGAAUAAUAUUCCAUUGUAUGUAUAUUCCACCUUUAGUGUAUCCAUCCGUCUGUUGACAGACACUUGGAUUGCUUUUGACUUUUGGCUGCUGUGAAUAAUGCUGCUAUUAAUAUUUCCAAUUUCACGACAUUUCCCCACACUUUGUGUGUGUGCGUGUGUGUGUAUGUGUGUGUGUAUGUAAAAUAGCAGCCAUUCUUAAAAAGGAGGCCUCCUAUGCUUUUGGUGGUUGUGUAAAUUGAUACAACCACUAUGGAAAACAGUAUGGAGGUACCUCAGAAACUAAAUAUAGAACUACCAUAUGAUCUAGCAAUCCCAUUCCUGGGCAUAUAUCUGGACAAAAAUUUCACUGAAAAAGAUCCAUAUACCUCUAUGUUCAUUGCAGCACUAUUCACAAUAGCCAAGACAUGGAAACAACCUGAAUGUCCAUCGACAGAUGAAUGGAUUAAGAUGUGGUACAUAUACACUAUUCAGCCAUAAGAGGAACAAAAUAAUGCCCAUUUGAGCAACAUAGAGACUCUCAUACUAAGUGAAGUAAGUCAGAAAGAGAAAGACAUAUACCAUAUAACUUAUAUCUGAAGUCUAAUAGAAUUAAAUAAUAAGUUCAGCAUAAAUGAACUUAUCUACAGAAGAGAAACAUACCCACAGACAUGAAGAACAGACCUGUGGUUGCUGAGGGGGAGGGAUUGGGAUGGACUGGGAGUUUGGGGUUAGUAGAUGCAAACUCUUACAUUUAGAAUGGAUAAAUAAGAUGUCUUACUGUACAGCACAAGGAAAGAUGCCCAAUCUCUUAUGAUAGUACAUGAUAGAAGAUAAUAUGAGAAAAAGAAUGUGUGUGUGUGUGUAUAUAUAUAUAUAUAUAUAUAUAUGACUGAGUCACUUUGCUGUACAGGAGGAAUUGACACACCAUUGUAAAUCAACUAUACUUUAAUUUAAAAAUUUAAGAAAAUAGGACCAUUCUAAUGGGAGUGAGGUGGCUAAAUAUAUUUCUGAAUUGCCAACUUCAUAUUAUUUUGUGUGUGAUUGUCUGGACUGCGGCUUAAUUUCCAUUGCCCACAGACCUGGGCAGUGACGAAUCCUGGAAUAGGAAGUGAGUUAGGAAUUGGAACUGGAGAGAGGGGCUUCUUUGACAAUAGGUGUGUAUCUGUGGUGUGGGGGUGGCUAAAAGAGUCCGACACGUGGGAAAAAUGAACUGUGAUUGCAGGAGAUAAAUCAACUUCUCCUGGCCACACUAACCAAGUUAGACAUAACUCCACAUCUUAAUUUAUUUUUAAAAACUCUGGGGUUGUUAUUGGCCAUGGAGCUCUCAGUUUCAGAUGAGCAUCUGAGUGGCCCACUGCCAGGAGUUGACAUGGUGGUGAUGACAAAGAGGUCACUCUGUAGGUUGCAGUGCAACUUGGCGGGAGACAGGCCUGCUCUCCGCAGCCCACAGUUUCUUGAGAUUGGACUUGGAGACACCUCUGGCUGAGGGCAACAAGCAACAAAGACAGGUGUUAGCAGUGCUGGGAUUUCUCACGUGGUAGGGAGGAACCGCUGGACAAAGGAGGACCUGCCUCCUGCUACCAGGGGCAAGAAUGGGCUUGGGGACUUCACAGACUGAACAUGUAAAAAUGUGACGUCAUGGUAGAUCAUAAAGCUCAGGAACGUGUGAGGGAUAGUCUUACCUGUCAGCGUGUUCCACGUGUGUAGAUUCAGCCUGAAGUCUUAGGAGGGCUGCCGUACGACAUGUGGGAGAUCAGCCUUUCCUUCAGGUCACUGUGAGCUGUGACUGCUCUCCACACCUGCACAGACAGCAGAGAGGGACAUGUGCAUUUCUGUGUAGGGCAGAGACAGAAGUCCACAAAGGCCACUGCAGUGUGAAAAAAGAAGGGCUGUUGUUUUUUGACAUUUUAUAAAGUGGGAGAAGGAGAUCCCUGGUGGCCAAGCAGGUUAAGGAUCUGGCAUUGUCACUGAAGUGGCUUGGGUCACUGUUGUGGCAUGGGUUUGAUCCCUGGCCUGAGAACUUCCACAUGCUGAGGGCGGGGCCAAAAAAAAAAAAAAAAAAGGUGGGAGGAAAGCCAGUGAGUGUGGAGUCCAAUAACAAAUGGAUACAUUUUGGGGGUUUUUUUUGGCUUUUUAGGGCUGCACCUGCAGCACAUGGAAGUUCUCAGGCUAGGGGUUGAAUUGGAGCUGCAGGUGCUGGCCUCUGCUCUGAUCUGAGCUGUGUCUGUGAUCCACACCACAGCUCACGGCAAUGCCAGAUCCCCAACCCACUGAGCGAGGCCAGGGAUUGAACCCACAUCCUCAUGGAUACUAGUCGAAUUCAUAAGCCCCUGAGCCACAAUGGGAACUCCAAGGAUAUUUUAAGUAGCUGUCACUGAUCUUAAACUCCUGAGUGGUCAGAAAGAUGAAGGUCUGAGACACGUGUGUGGAUUUGCAUUGUUGGGGGAGGGGGUUGACCACACUGUACGGCAGUGGGGACAAGUCAGACAGCUGUGAGUUGAGGCAUAAAGAGGAGGAAGAAGGAGAUGUCAGAUAACAUGGGGAAAGUUUCCAGAAGGCGGAGGAGUGGAAAGAAUACAAAAAUCUAGCAAUGGAGUUUACCAGUGGGUGGCAAAGAUCUAAAUCUGCCCUGUCCUCUUGUCAUUUGCCAUCUAAGAUACGGCUCGUGCCACGGAGCAACUGAGUUUAAAAAUUUUAUUUAGUUCUAAUUAAUUUUAUGUAACUACCCCUAGUUAGAGGCAACACAGCAGAGAACCCAGAUUUGUAGAAAGAGAGUGCUGAGGGCGUUGUUAGGUUUGCCGAGGGAGGAACACACAAGGCCUGGUGGGUAAAGCAGGAGAGAUUUGUUAAGGCAUCAGAGGGGCACGGGCUGAGCUCAGGAUGGCGCCAGCCCCGACUGUGAGGAGGUGCUAAGCUUGUAGAGGAUCUGUGGCUGGAGUUCUUGGCGGCAACGUGUGGCAGGAAUGACGAAGAAGGAGGAGGAGGAGGGGAAGGUCAAGGGAGGGGGAGGGGGUGGGGUCCCGUGACAGAGGGCAGUGAAUCCUUGUCGGUGGUUCAUCGAUGCUCCACAUGGUGGGAAAGGGUGCAGAUCUCGAGCUGGGCUGUACCCGUGUCCCCAGCAGAUCUCCAAGGUCACAUUCGGGGGGUGGGGCUCUGUCUCCAUCCUCCUGGGAACCUCUCAGGGGUAUUGAGGGAGGUUUUAGUUUCUGUUGCUUUUGAGAUCAUCGAGACCUCUAUGGUUUUAGAAGUGAUGAGCCUUAGGCAGCAAGGAGGAGCUUUUGAAGAUGAAGGAGAGCAGCAAGGGAAUAAUAAAGUCUCUGGGAGAGAAGUGGUGAGGUUGAUGAGAUCUAGAGCAGAGAGCGAUGCUUUGGCUUUUCUUAAUACAUGAAACCAUGCUUCUGUGUGAGGACAGAGGGCGUGUGAUGAGCUUGGAGACUGUUAGGUGUGUAGGCUGGUGGCAGGAAGUGGAGUGGGUUUUCCAGCUGACGGAUUCCGGAUUCCGUUUUCUCUGAGGGAUGGGAAUUGAGGUCAUCCACCUCGAGGGAGGGGAAGAGUAGUGAGCUGGAGCUUUCAAGAGUCGAGAAUACUUAAAACAGCUUUGUGGAGAAGAUGGAAAGCUGAGGCGGGAGACAUGCCAUUUGUUGAGCAAUUUUUUUUCUGGUGGGGAAACUGAGACACAGAGAGGUGAUAUACGUCGCUCGGUAUCUCUCAAGUCCAGAGAACAAGGGAGCCUUGGAUCUUUUUGAUUCCACAGCCACAGUUCUUUCCACUGCCAAGAAGUUCACUUGCCUAAGCCAGCCUCCUAGCAUCCUAUCUGAGUCUCUUUGGACACUUUUCGCCUCCAAUUUUUAAUCAUAUUUAUUCGUGGAAAGGCUAAGUUUCGCUUAGUACAUUCUAGGUGUGUGGGAUCCAUCCUCGCAUUCAUCCCCGUGUCCCUGCAGUGCCCAGCACAACUCUGUGAAUGAGAUGAGGCUCAGUAAAGAUAUGGUGAGUGGUGCGUGGAUGAGUAAAAAAGAAAAGAUGCAUAAGGCAGAUGAAAAGUCCCUUUCUCACACCCAGGUCCAUCUUCCACAUUCACGUGCACGAGCGACUUCAUUUCUGCUUCACGUUCCUACCUUAGACAGCACUGGAGCCUCUCCCCAUUAAAAUGAGGGUUUGGAAAGGCAUCAUUUAAAAUCACGUGAAGUGAGGCAGUGUGAAAAGCAAGGGCUGUCAUUUUUGAGAUUUUUUUUUUUUUUCUUUUUAAAAACUAUUUUAUUUACUUAUUUACUUUUCUGGAUCCAGACAUGGCUGGAGAGCCGACACUUGGGAGGGUCCCCUUUCCCCAAUAUAAAUGACCUCACAGAGUUCAUGCCCUUAUCUUUCGUUCUCAAGGAUAUAAACAAACAUUGAGAUUGGCCAGAGCACUGACCUUGGGGGUGACUAAGGCCCCCUGGAGUUCAAAUCUAACUAAGAUGUUCCCUGCUGGGACUCCGAUUCUCUCAUUUUGUGCUAUAUUUACCAAUGAUGUUACACUUUAUCUUAGCAAAUAUUUAAUUUGUCGAGAGAAAACAUGUCAUGAAUGCAUUACUCAUAAGUUUCCGUAUUUCCCAAAGAUCUGGCAAGUGGCAGAGAUGGAACUUGUGGGGUCCUGUUGAAACAGCAGAAAACAAAGCCAAGCACCCAACUUGAGUGAAUCCAAAGGGGAAGAGAUGGGUGUCACACAGAGGCUGAGAGAGAUUAUGCUAAAUGAUUUGAUAUGGCCAGUUGAUCAGUGGGCCCUUCCUAUGCAGUGGUCACCUUAGCUCAGAAAACACCUGGCUUUAGAAAUAAGCAUCUAAGAAUUAAGAAAAAUGUAUCUUACUUAUUGAAAAUGUGGGGAGCUCACCAUUUUUUUUUUUCCAAUUCCCUUCUCCUGUUCAAUUAAAUAUACAUGUAGCUGCCAAUGGGUAAAUCUAAAGAUAGACAUUUUCCAUCACCAAUUUUGUGCUCAUGUCAAACUUCUUUACUGAAAUGCCUCUGAGAGAAUAAAAUCUUUCUUGACAUUGGUGAUUUCGAGACUACCGAAACACAUACUAUUUUAGAAAACCAAAAUAGGCUGUUUAAAGAAGGGUUUCUUUUCUUUUUUUUUUUAAUCGAUAAGCACCUUUAAAACCUCAUUAUUUGUACUGUGAGUUGAAAUCUGACCAUAGAAGCCCUUCUCUUGAUUUCCCAAGUGACCUCAUAAAGGGUUUGGGCUAACUUUCUCUAAUUCCAAAAUCCAAAGAAAAUAAAUUUUAUCCAGAUGUUGGGCUUGGAGAUUCGUGUUACAUUACAAACAAAACUGAAUAUUUGUUUUUGGAAAAUCUUACUACCGUAUAUGAUUUAAAGUAAAGGUUAUAUGUGUUGCUUCAUUCUUGUUGCAGCAUCUUGUUUUUUCAGCCUCUGAAUGCCACUUUCCCACUUCUCAGUCUCUGGCAUUUCUAUGUUUUUGGACAAUGCACAUGAUUAAAAUGGUAUUUUCAUAUUUCAGUGUAGUUGGAGCUCCUUAAAGCAGAGGGUUGUAAGUGCAAAAAAAAAAAAAAAAAAAAAAAAAAA